UGAAUGCUACAUCCGUCCUGCGACGGUACACCGCCUCCGCACCACCGUUUAAACAUGAAGUGUGGAUGUUAGAAGAUCCCAAAUAUGGAAAUAGUCAGGACCCAGAUGAACCUGUGCUGGAAUUCAGUGUGGGCUAGGGCCUAUUAUAUGCUGUAGCCUGAA